rnacentral:rRNA from 1 species
ACUCAAAGGAAUAGACGGGGGCCCGCACAAGCGGAGGAGCAUGUGGUUUAAUUCGAUGAUACGCGAGGAACCUUACCCGGGCUUGAAUUGCAGUGGAAGAGUGUGGAAACCCACUCGUCUUCGGACCACUGUGAAGGUGCUGCAUGGUUGUCGUCAGCUCGUGCCGUGAGGUGUUAGGUUAAGUCCUGCAACGAGCGCAACCCUUACACUUAGUUGCCAGCAUGUCAUGAUGGGGACUCUAAGUGAACUGCCUACGCAAGUAGAGAGGAAGGUGGGGAUGACGUCAAAUCAGCACGGCCCUUAUGUUCGGGGCUACACACGUGCUACAAUGGUCGGUACAGAGGGCAGCUACUUCGCGAGAAGAUGCUAAUCUCAAAAGCCGAUCUCAGUUCGGAUCGGAGUCUGUAACUCGACUCCGUGAAGUUGGAUUCGCUAGUAAUCGCGCAUCAGCCAUGGCGCGGUGAAUACGUUCCCGGGCCUUGUACACACCGCCCGU